UAAAGACCAGGAAUGGCCCCGGGUGUUUUGAGAGGAAUUCCACCCAAGGAUGUCUAGCGUUGUAGACCACACGGAGACCCAGUGAAGUAAAGAAGAUAACCUGAACAAUAACCAAAGGCAAAAAUGC